UCUCCCUUCCUGCCCUGGCUAG
rnacentral:miRNA from 1 species